UACAGAGGGUGCGAGCGUUAAUCGGAAUUACUGGGCGUAAAGCGCACGUAGGUGGCGACGUAAGUCGGGUGUGAAAGCCCCGGGCUCAACCUGGGAAUUGCAUUCGAGACUGCAUUGCUGGAGUACGGAAGAGGAAGGCGGAAUUCCUGGUGUAGCGGUGAAAUGCGUAGAUAUCGGGAGGAACAUCAGUGGCGAAGGCGGCCUUCUGGUCCAGUACUGACACUCAAGUGCGAAAGCGUGGGGAGCAAACAGG
rnacentral:rRNA from 1 species